CAACCAAGGGAGGCUUCUGAGGACAGACUGUCUGCGUUCAAAUCAUGACAGAAACGAUCUAUUUGAGACUGUGAACACGAGAAUUGGGGCUUAGAGGUGCAUAGUAAAGAAAUUACCCAUUGGAGAACAUCUCUUAGAGAGAAAUGAGUUUGCACCCAGAACAUCGUAAGGUCCUGAAGGGUAUUGAACUUGUCAAAAGGAGGAGAUUCAGCGUGGAAAAGUGGCUUACACCUACGCAUGACAGGAAAAUGAAUAUGCUUAUGUACUACGCAUAUGAGUUCAACAUUUUAGGAGAAGCUGAAACAACCAGAUGAAAACAGAUUCCCAGAAUACCAUGUGGAACAAAGCCAUUCCCCAACCAGGAUUGUCACCAUACAUUUGUUAAAUCAUAAGUCAAUAAAUAAUUAUUUUCUUUAAGACAUUAAAUUUGGAACCACUGUUAACAUAGUUUAACCUUCACGUUAAUAUAAAUGAUUUGCACAUUAGGAGUGAAACAAGUAUUAUAAAAUUUCUUGUAUUUUGCUAGCAUGUUGUACACACAUCCAACCGCUUGUCAAGUAAUCUCAUAGAAGAUGGGAUGUAAUUACAGCAAAAACUGUCAGUUUUAUUCUGCAAAGAAAAGUUAUAUGUUCAGCCUCAGUUAGCAGGUAAAUGAACUUUGCUUAAAUAAAUAUAAAUUCUUGUUUUUCGUUCUAGCAUAUAGACUGUAAGGAUAAUAUUCUGAAAACAAAAUCAGGCAAGCAAUUCUUGGCUUACAGAUUCUUUUACAGAGGUUUCAAUGAAAAAGCUAUUUAUAAUUUCUCUUUUGUAUCACUUCCGUUAUAUCAUAUAUUGCAAUAAAAGCAUGCUUACUUGUCUCUGUAGAGGCAAAAUAUGCUUACGUACUCUUAUAUCCUAAUAAGAAUAUAAUUUAAAUGGAAAUGUGUGGUAGGCUGAAUAAUGAUCCCCAAAAGAAGAUUUCCUUGUCUUAAUUUCUCCUGGAGUCUGUGAAUGUCCUCUUUGACAACAACAACAACAAAAAGCUUCACAUUAUGAUCAAGUGUAAGGUCUUGCAAUGGAAGAUCAUUCUGGAUUAUCUGGCUAGGCCCUAAAUGCACACAAAGAAGGAGAGAAGACAGUGGGACCACAACUGCAAAGAUUGGAGUUAACAUGUCCACAAGCCAAGGAAUAUGGGCAACC